rnacentral:tRNA from 1 species
UCCUUGGUGGUCCAGUGGUUAAGACUCUGCGCUUUCAAUGCAGAGGGCUUACGUUCAAUCCCUGGUUGGGGAA